UACGGGGGGAGCAAGCGUUGUUCGGAUUUACUGGGCGUAAAGCGCGCGUAGGCGGCUUUGCAAGUCAGAGGUGAAAUCCCGGGGCUCAACUCCGGAACUGCCUUUGAAACUGCAUCGCUUGAAUGUCGGAGAGGUGAGUGGAAUUCCGAGUGUAGAGGUGAAAUUCGUAGAUAUUCGGAAGAACACCAGUGGCGAAGGCGGCUCACUGGACGACUAUUGACGCUGAGGUGCGAAAGCGUGGGGAGCAAACAGG
rnacentral:rRNA from 1 species